CACUUCCUUUAUUUCUGUUAUGGUUUGCUUUGUUUUUCUUUCUUCUUCUUUUUUCCAUGUUAGAGGAUCCUGCCGCAAUUUUUCUUUGAAAAGGGAUCCUGCCGCAUUUUGUUAGCGCAAUAUUUAGGGGUACUCCUGGGAAUGGAUUGGGCUCGAUCCAAAUCCAAUUGGAUUUUGGCACUUAAACUCUACUGGAUUUGGAUCUAGAAGGGAGCGCCGGACGCACAGGAAGCCAGCCGCACGAACGUCUUCUCCCUCGCGGACUCGCCGCCGUGCGUCUUCUCCCUCGGCUACCGCGCGUCUUCUUCCCCAGCCACAGCACCUCUUGUCGCCUGCCCUCGUCACGCGGAGCAUCUCGAGUUUUGGAGAUCUCGCCGAUGCGUGUUGGACAGGAGCGGCGGCAGCGCGCACGGUGGCUGCCGCAGGCGGAGGAGGCGUACGGCCGCGGCUGCUGGAGUGGGCGGAGGGCGCGAGCUCGGUAUCUGAUAGCGCGGCCGGCGAGCGGCAGUUGCCGCGGGUGUGGAGGCUGCGAAGCUGCCGAGGCGCGGGCAUAGGCCGUGCGACAGCGAACGGAGGCGAGGCAGCGCUGCCGGCGAGCCGCGGGCGGAGGUAGUGCGACAGAAAACAGAGGCGAGGCAUCACGGCCAGCGAGCGCAGUUGACGCGGGCGCAGAGGCGACGAAGCCGGCGAGUCGCGGACGGAGGCCGGCGAGCGGCAGCCAGCGCGACGGGAGACCGGUGCGGGCAGGCGAGCCGCGGGUGAAGACGGCGCGGUCGAACAGCAGCAGCCGGUGCGGGCGGCGCGAGCCGGCGAGAAGCCUGUGCAGCUUCCUUGCCGGCGAGUUCGUCGCGGCCGAGGAGGGCGCCCAGCAUGGCCGAUUGUCCAUGGCUCCCAUAUACUUGAAUUUUGGAUUAUAUUGGAUGGAUUUGGAUUGAGGGGAAUUGGAUUGGACUGAAUUGGACGUU